ACCACGUCAUGUCACUUAGAGGUGAUAUCCCAGUUGAGUUCGGAUUCUACUCUUUUCACUCUCUCUCUCGCUGAGCUUCCUUUCUCUCUCUAGAAUUUGGAGUGAGCGAGAGCGAUCAUGGGUGGCGAUAGUUUCGGCUCUUCUCCCCCUUCAACUGAGGAUGUAUCGUUAUCCAGCCAAGGUUUCCCACAUGGCUCCGUUAAGUCCAGUGCUUCAAGUGGAGAUGAGGAGUGUUUGUGUCAUAAAUUAGAGAACGGUUCAGUGAUCAACUGCGUGAGGGUUUCUGAUUCCGGUGAUUCUUCGGAUGCCGAUCGUCUUAGAAAUUCAAUUCGUGAGGCCGCUGAGAGGCAGAAAUUGAAGGUUUACACAGAAGUUUUGAGGAGUUAUGAGGAUUUGCAGUCUAAGAUUGAGCGGUUCGAAGAGGCCAAAAGUACAAUUUUGAGCUAUACUCCUGGUUCAUGGGCUGAUAAAGCUUCAUGCAUGGACUUGAGAGAGUGUGACGUGCCAAAUACUACCUCAUUCUUAGUAAUCGGCCCCAAGAGUUCCGGGAAGAGCAGCCUCGUUAACAAAAUCUCUCGGGUUUUUGAGGAUGAUGUGUUCCAACCUCCAAGAGCCCAAGUGUCAUGUAGCUCUUCUCCUGAAGACGGGACCUAUUUCCUCCAUGAGUACUCGAUUCCAAGAAAUUCGGGUUCUUUCUGUUUGUACGACACUCCUGGUUUGUCUGCUGACUCCUCCAAGAACCUAAAAAUGAUCGAGCGCUGGAUGACACACGGUGUCCACCAUGGGGAGCUGAUCAUAAGAGAAUCCGACAGCAAGACUUUAAAAGCUCAGUUAAAGUGCAGAGCUCGGAGGGGCUUCUUUUCCGGUCAGGUAAGGCCUAUUGACUUUGUCAUCUUCGUCGUGAACGGGCUAUCUGUGUUGGAGUCGAUGAACAGCGCUGAUGAGAUGAAGAAAGCGUACUCUCAAAUGAUCGGUGCAGAUAUCAAGAAUCCAUUGUUGUUGUUUAAAGACGACAAGCCUGCUAUCGUGGUAACGCAUGGAGAUUUACUGCCCAUCUCUGAUCGCGUUAGGGUACGUGUUUAUCUUGGAGAACUGCUCGGUGUCCCUCCAACGGGACAGAUCUUCGACAUCCCAGAGAACGAUGAUCCAGCCACCACAUCAGCAAUAUUCGAUCUGUUGUUUUACUGCCUCGAGCGAGCUGACCGAAACCUUCCCGCCAGAGACCUGUUCACGGACAAGGUACGCACCGUAGCAAGUUUGCUCUUCUGGAUUGCUGCAGCAAUCAUCAUCAUCUGGGCGAUUCCUGGCCGCCACCGUGUUCAGCCACGAGCAGCGCCGACUCUGCCACUCAAAGUGGAUUGGCAUAAAAUUCGACAUUUGUGGUUGGAAGAUUAGGUAUUUUGUGGGUAGCUCGUUUCCGUUUCAGGCAACAUCCUAGCCUGGGAACCUGUAAUAUAAACCAAGUGCCUCUGAACUUUCUGGUUGGAUUCAAUAAUUAUGAAGAGAUGCAGGUUGGUUGGAGAGAGAGCUGAAUAAGGGCUCUCAAGAAUACAGCUAGACUAAACACUCUUUCCUAACGUAAAUCAAGAAUCAAGAACACCAUGAUGAAGCUGAUGUUGGAAUUAUCUGCAAAAAUUUGGCCCUUGCCGUAGGAUCAGUGGAGAAUCGACCAAGCACAGCAAUGGUGGCAGUGCUGCUCCCUAGCUUCUCAAUCCCUCGAGAGAUCAUACAAGUAUGGCUAGCUUCGACCACGACUAUAACAUCUUCGCCCAAGAUCGACGAAGCCACCUCCGCUAUCUGCCUGGUUAGCCUCUCCUGCACCUGCAGCUUGAACCCAUAGAACUGCACCACCGAUUGCAGCAGCGACUUCCCCACGGUGCUCAUCACGCGGCUUGAGCCAUAAUAACCUACGUGCACGACGCCGUGGAACGGGAGCAGAUGGUGCUCGCACUGCGACCAGAAUGGCAUGUUGAGCUCAGAGCAGACGUGGCUGAAAUCCUGAGGCAACGUGAGAGCCGACUCCCGCUUGCCGCCUCGAACCAACCCGUUGAGCUUCAUGUCCAUGUUCGAGUUCUUGAAGUUCAUCAACCAGUUGACGAAUCGAGCCGGGGUCCCCACGAGAUCCUCCCUGGACGGGUCCUCGCCCAGAGAGUAUAGGAUUGAGGAAACCGCUGCGAGCAGAGACGGAUCCGGCGCGGCCAUCUUACAGAUGGCCCGAGACGGGCACCAGAAUUUGUCAAGUGGGCUUCUGGAACGGGCGUCGUCUGCGGUAAGGCCUCUGAAGCCUGAGGAGGCCGAGGAAAUCCGUCCAGAUACCAGCCUUGUCGUCGGCAAAAGCUCCCGAUCCCGACAUGACCGAUAACCUGACGCAUCCUUGGCGGUUGGGGAAAUGGAUGUGAGAGGAGUGGAGGACGACAGCGACGCCUGUCGGGGUGAUGGUGUGCUGCAGAGCCGUGCAGAUUUCAUCAGCCGAGGCGCUGUGGAUGUUGGAGGCGCUUGGCGAAGACUUCAGCAACUCGAGAGAGCUUGCUAAGGCCCACAACACGGUGGCCGGAUGGGACGUAGCCGACGUGACACUUGAGCUGGAAGGGAAGCAAGCAAGACUCACAAUGCGAGAAGAGAUCGAGAUCCCGGACAAUGACUAGGCCGCCAGCUCCGCCAGCAGAGCCCACGCUGCUCUCUACCCCAGCUUCAGGAAACAAAGCGCCGCUAACAAUAUCCUUCACGUUCUGAUGAUACCCUGGACAAAGUGUUACAAACAACAAACAUUCGAAUCCCAUUAACAAAGCAAAGUUUAAGAGAUGUGAUUGGAUCAAACAGUAAUGGAAAUCCAACUCUUUGCACCUCACUUC